rnacentral:lncRNA from 1 species
AUAUUCAUACAUAAUAUAAUUAAAAGUGAUGUUGGCGCAAGGGUCAAUUGCCAUAAACUAGUCAUGUCUGUGUAUUGACACUACUCUAAUUAGACAAUGUCAAUUUAAGAGAUUUUUUAAGUCCCAUAUUACUUCAGACUACAAAAUGUUGAUAAUGAGAUGAACCAACCAAUUUUCUUUCUUAUUUUUACCCUAUUUGUAAAAAUCAAUAUAACAGUUACCUGUGUUAUUGUAGGAUUAUCUUUAUACUUAAUAUUAAUAGAGAUGAGGAGUACUCAACAUUUAGACAGCAACAUAAUAGAAUAGACAAUACAUGCAGUGGUCAACAAUGGGUCUUUAACAAUAGACAAGGGUCAAUGUCUAAAUUGUAAGUCUUGCCAAGUUUUGAAAUAAACAUAUCAACAUAACAUAAGAUCUACCGUCAAUAUGAAAAGGACAAAAAUACCUAUGAAAUGAUUAAAAUUUGACAGAAAAAAUGUAAACUACUAGAAGUUUUGUAAAAAGUACUAAUGAAAUAUGGAACUCAAGAUUUGAAUAUGGAAAAGUUCAUGAAAACUGACAAAUCAAAUGUUGACUAUUUCAAUCAACAGAGUGAAUGAAAAUCAAAUGUUAUAUUCCUGACUUAGUACAGUUUCUCUUUUAUAAACAAAUGGCGAGUUAAACCUGGUUUGGUAGCUAGCUAAACCUCUCACUUGUAUUACAGCUGUUUAAAGUUCUGUUAAAUUGACAAAAUUAAAUGAGCAACCCAAGCAGACCACAUCUCUUUUUUUUUUACUAUAAUGUACCCCAAUGUUUCUGUUGCUGAUAUCUGGAGUUUCACUAAGCAAAACAUGUUAUUGCUAGUUCAAUUUAAAGAAAACUUCUAAACAGAAAAUCUCUAACAGCUUAUAUUGAAAUAAGGGAAAAUUUUAAAAUUGCUACUUCAUACCAUAUGUAUCUUUUAUUAAAUAAUUUAAUAUUGUAUAUGUUUCAAAUCAAACACAAAACACAGGAAAAAUUGUCUAUGCAAAAUCUGCAGCAGUUUACAUUCAAUAACCAUGAAAUUUUACACAUGAGCAUAUUGUUCAUCAAAUGUUUUUUAUAUUUUUUUUCGGGGGGAUAGUUUUCAUAGUUGAAUACUCAUCUCUUAGAUUUUGGGAAGUUUGUCAAUGAUUCCCCUACAGUUUAUGCUAGAUUAGAACACACAUUUAUGAAAAAAUAUGCAUUUGUACAAUUUAAAGAUUUGUAUGGAUAUGACAAAAUCUGUUUAAAGGUUACUGAGAACUGACUAACUUUAAUGGUUGGAAAGGUUAACAUAUUGUCAAUAACAAAUACUAGUAUGUUUAAGAAUUUUCAUAUUAUGUGCAUUUACAGAUAUUGUUAUUUCUUUUGUGUAUAAUUUAGUGAUUGAUAUGCAUUCCAAUUACAUUCUGUUUGUGUUUCUUUAUUUACAUUAUUAAAUUAAUUUGUGGCAAAUUUACUGUAUUGUAAUAAAAUGCAUAUUUUUAAAUGUCUUUUUUUUCCUUAUUUUAUAUUGAAAUUACCCUACUUGAUGUAUCUGUUUAUAAUAAUCCCC